rnacentral:lncRNA from 1 species
UCUCAUCAAAUUUGCAAAUUUUUAAUUAGUGCUUCUUCAAGUAUUAUUUCUGCUAUUCCUUUUUACACUUUUGGGGACUCUAAUUAUGUUAUGUUAAUGUCUUUGAAGUUGUCUCACAGCUUGCUGAUACUAUGUUCUUUUUUUGUUUUGUCUUGUUUUCCUCUGCAUGUUCCAGUUUAAAUUGUUUCUAUUUUUAUGUUUUCAAGUUCACAAAUCAUGUCUUUUGCAAACUCUGUUACUAAUCCCAUCCAUCUUUGUCAAAAUUGGAAGCCCUCCUUGACAUGAGAAUAGGCAGAAGAAAACUAAAAAAAAAAAUAUAGCUUAAUUUUUCUUUUCUUGAUCUGGAAGAAUUUUUUGGUGGCUAGAAAAUAAAGCUAAAAACCAUACAGGGAAGCCUUUAUAGAUUGAAAUAUUUUUUUAAAAAUUACAUUUCUAUGAUAUCUUGAAAAGAUCAUAAAUAGAGGAACCGGGUGUGGUAGCACAUGCCUGUAAUCCCAGUGGCUUGGGAGGCUGAGGCAGGAGGAUUGUAAGUUCAAAGCUAGCCUCAGCAAUUUAGCGAGAACAUGUCUCAAAAAAAUUUUUUUUUUUUGUACCAGGGAGUGAAUUCAGGGGCAUUCGACCACUGAGCCACAUACCCAGCCCUUUUAUUUUAUUUUAUUUUUUUAAUAUUUUUUGUUUUUGUUUUUGGC